rnacentral:rRNA from 1 species
GACGAACGCUGGCGGCGUGCUUAACACAUGAAAGUCGAACGGAAAGGCCCUGCUUUUGUGGGGUGCUCGAGUGGCGAACGGGUGCGUAACACGUGAGUAACCUGCCCUUGACUUUGGGAUAACUUCAGGAAACUGGGGCUAAUACCGGAUAGGAGCUCCUGCUGCAUGGUGGGGGUUGGAAAGUUUCGGCGGUUGGGGAUGGACUCGCGGCUUAUCCGCUUGUUGGUGGGGUAGUGGCUUACCAACGCUUUGACGGGUAGCCGGCCUGAGAGGGUGACCGGCCACAUUGGGACUGAGAUACGGCCCAGACUCCUACGGGAGGCAGCAGUGAGGAAUAUUGCACAAUGGGCGGAAGCCUGAUGCAGCAACGCCGCGUGCGGGAUGACGGCCUUCGGGUUGUAAACCGCUUUCGCCUGUGACGAAGCGUGAGUGACGGUAAUGGGUAAAGAAGCACCGGCUAACUACGUG